GAUGAACGCUGGCGGCGUGCCUAAUACAUGCGAGUCGAGCGAACAGACGAGGAGCUUGCUCCUCUGACGUUAGCGGCGGACGGGUGAGUAACACGUGGAUAACCUACCUAUAAGACUGGGAUAACUUCGGGAAACCGGAGCUAAUACCGGAUAAUGUAUUGAACCGCAUGGUUCAAUAGUGAAAGACGGUUUUGCUGUCACUUAUAGAUGGAUCCGCGCCGCAUUAGCUAGUUGGUAAGGUAACGGCUUACCAAGGCAACGAUGCGUAGCCGACCUGAGAGGGUGAUCGGCCACACUGGAACUGAGACACGGUCCAGACUCCUACGGGAGGCAGCAGUAGGGAAUCUUCCGCAAUGGGCGAAAGCCUGACGGAGCAACGCCGCGUGAGUGAUGAAGGUCUUCGGAUCGUAAAACUCUGUUAUUAGGGAAGAACAAAUGUGUAAGUAACUAUGCACGUCUUGACGGUACCUAAUCAGAAAGCCACGGCUAACUACGUG
rnacentral:rRNA from 1 species